rnacentral:rRNA from 1 species
GAUGAACGCUGGCGGCGUGCCUAAUACAUGCAAGUCGAGCGAACGGACGAGAAGCUUGCUUCUCUGAUGUUAGCGGCGGACGGGUGAGUAACACGUGGAUAACCUACCUAUAAGACUGGGAUAACUUCGGGAAACCGUAGCUAAUACCGGAUAAUAUUUUGAACCGCAUGGUUCAAAAGUGAAUGACGGUCUUGCUGUCACUUAUAGAUGGAUCCGCGCUGCAUUAGCUAGUUGGUAAGGUAACGGCUUACCAAGGCAACGAUGCAUAGCCGACCUGAGAGGGUGAUCGGCCACACUGGAACUGAGACACGGGCCAGACUCCUACGGGAGGCAGCAGUAGGGAAUCUUCCGCAAUGGGCGAAAGCCUGACGGAGCAACGCCGCGUGGGUGAAGAAGGUCUUCGGGUCGGAAAACUCUGUUAUUAGGGAAGAACAUAUGUGUAAGUAACUGUGCACAUCUUGACGGUACCUAAUCAGAAAGCCACGGCUAACUACGUG